rnacentral:rRNA from 1 species
CCUACGGGUGGCAGCAGUAGGGAAUAUUGCACAAUGGGGGAAACCCUGAUGCAGCAACGCCGCGUGGGGGAUGAAGGUUUUCGGAUUGUAAACUCCUUUUGUUAGAGAAGAUAAUGACGGUAUCUAAGGAAGAAGCCCCGGCUAACUACGUGCCAGCAGCCGCGGUAAUACGGAGGGUGCAAGCGUUACCCGGAAUCACUGGGUGUAAAGAGCGCGUAGGCGGGAGAGCAAGUCAGGUGUGAAAUCCUACGGGUUAACCAUAGAACUGCAUUUGAAACUGUUCGUCUAGAGUAUAGGAGAGGUAGGUGGAAUUCUUGGUGUAGGGGUAAAAUCCGUAGAGAUCAAGAGGAAUAC